rnacentral:lncRNA from 1 species
CGCGCGUUGCUAGCCCUCUUUCAGCCUCGAGGCUUAAGCUAGGCGUAGUCUUUACCGCCUCAGCCCCGCGGCGCAAGGGCGGGCGGGAGUGGGAACCCAAGCUUUCGUCUGGAGCCGUAGGAGUAAAUGCAGCGCGUGGGCGUAGCGCCGGCUUCUCACCGGAGAAGCGCGCACACCGUGGAGACAGUGACUAGACCCGAGUGGACUAUCCAGGCACUCAGUUUCUCCAAAUAAAAUGCAAGUCCCACCUCCUAAGACCUGCUUGUUGACAAGAGGAACACUGGCUUCUUUGGGGGCAACCUGAUGUGCAUCCUCGCUUGGAAAAUCUGAUGAAAUCACAAGGUAAUCUUUAAGUGAAUAAAAUUCAUUGUAAAUUACAGAUGAAGGAGUUCCCAUCGUGGUGCAGCGGAAAUGAAUCCAACUAGGAACCAUGAGGUUACAGGCUCAAUCCCUGGCUUCGCUCUGUGGGUUAAGGAUCCAGCGUUGCUGUGAGCUGUGAUGUAGGUCACAGACGCGGCUUGGAUCUGGCAUUGCUGUGGCUGUGGUGCAGCCCCCUAGCUCAGUUUUGACCCCUAGCCUGGGAACUUCCAUAUGCCGGAGGUGCAACUGAGAAGAGAAGAGAAAGAAGGAAAGAAGGAAGGAAGGAAGGGUAUGUGAUGUUUAAGCUUCCACAGUUUUUAAAAAAAUUGUUUAGAGGCUCCUGUUAAAUGUUGUGACCAGGGUUCCAGGGAAAGCAUCCAAUCUCUCCUCCUGAAGAUCUGGAUCAGAAAAGUUAGUUCUGACUACUUUACCAAAUGCUGGUGAUUGUCAGGUAUCCAAUUAAGUAAACUCUCAGUAAUAAAUUUAUUGAGUUUUUCUUGCCUCUUUAGUAGCUAUAAGCUGUAAGAGGAGUUCCCAUUGUGCCUUGGUGGGUUAAGAACCCAACAUAGUGUCCAUGAACCCUCACUUAGUGGGUUAAGGAUCCAGUGUUGCCACAAACUGUGUGUUCCUAUGCUGGCAGCUGCAGCUCCAAUUUGCCCCCCAGCCUGGGAACUUCCAUAGGCUGUGGGUACAGCCCUAAAAAACAAAAAACAAAACAAAACAAAACAAAAAAAUUCAAAUAGUACAAUGCUGUAUGCAUGUAUACCUCCUGCUCUGAUUUCCUUUAAUUAGUGGCAACCAGUGUUACCAAUUUCUUUGGGGAGUUCACUGGAGAUAUAUUGUAGUAUAUUGUGGAUGUCUUGCA